AUGCUCGUAGCGAAAAGGAUAUCGUGUAUCCCUCCUAAGGAUAAGUUGCGGGUUCAAUUCCCGCCGAGCAUA
rnacentral:tRNA from 1 species